UUCCAACAUGAUAGAGAAAUGUUGAUUAUGCUGAAAGAACUACAAAAGAAGCACAACCCUGGCAUGGUAACUGUGCAUUUACCUGAAAAUUGUCCCCAUUUGCCAGCCACGACCUUCUCAGAGCUUCAAGAAUUGGACACUCAACUCGAAGAACCUGACAACAUGGCGACAACGGUACAGUUCUCUAUGAAAGGGGGAUCCGACUAUAAGGACGCCAUCCGUCAAAUCCUCAAGGGCCUCUUGAAACACACUUUUGCCGUGAAGUGUAGCUGGAAAGGGUAUCGAGGAGACAAACAUGCAUUUUCAACACUGCAGAACGUCACAAGGCUUGUCCUAGAAUCAAUUCGAAUCAACUUAGGAGACGUUACUCACAGCAUGGUCAAGCAGGCAAGCAAAAACUGGCUCAUGUGGGCACAUGACCGGAAUGGAGGCCGCACAGAAAGACGACACUCGA